CCUACGGGAGGCAGCAGUGGGGAAUAUUGGUCAAUGGGCGGAACCCUGAACCAGCGACGCCGCGUGAGUGAAGAAGUAUUUCGGUAUGUAAAGCUCUAUCAGCCGGGAAGAAAAUGACGGUACCUGACUAAGAAGCCCCGGCUAACUACGUGACAGCAGCCGCGGUAAUACGUAGGGGGCAAGCGUUAUCCGGAUUUACUGGGUGUAAAGGGAGCGUUGACGGUGCAGCAAGUCUGAUGGGAAAGGUCGGGGCCCAACCCCGGGACUGCAUUGGAAACUGUUGAACUGGAGUACAGGAGAGGUAAGCGGAAUGCGUAGUGUAGCGGUGAAAUGCGUAGAUAUUAGGCAGAACACCAGUGGCGAAGGCAGCUUACUGGACUGUAACUGACGUUGAGGCACGAAAGCGUGGGUAGCAAACAGGAUUAGAUACCCCAGUAGUC
rnacentral:rRNA from 1 species